rnacentral:rRNA from 1 species
GUGAGGAAUAUUGCGCAAUGGAGGCAACUCUGACGCAGCCAUGCCGCGUGCAGGAAGAAGGCGCUACGCGUUGUAAACUGCUUUUAACCGGGAAGAAACCCCAGGACGUGUCCUGGGUUGACGGUACCGGAGGAAUAAGCACCGGCUAACUUCGUGCCAGCAGCCGCGGUAAUACGAAGGGUGCAAGCGUUAUCCGGAUUCAUUGGGUUUAAGGGGUGCGUAGGCGGAGCGUUAAGUCAGUGGUGAAAUCCUGCAGCUUAACUGUAGACUUGCCAUUGAUACUGGCGCUCUUGAGUGCGCUUGAAGUGGGCGGAAUGUGCCGUGUAGCGGUGAAAUGCUUAGAUAUGGCACAGAACACCAAUUGCGAAGGCAGCUCACUAAGGCGAUACUGACGCUGAGGCACGAAAGCGUGGGGAUCGAACAGGAUUAGAAACCCGGGUAGUCC